CAAAAUUCUUCUCCAACCCUACU
rnacentral:snRNA from 1 species